rnacentral:rRNA from 1 species
UUUAACCUACGGGGGGCAGCAGUGGGGAAUAUUGCACAAUGGGGGAAACCCUGAUGCAGCGACGCCGCGUGAGUGAAGAAGUCAUUCGUGAUGUAAAGCUCUAUCAGCAGGGAAGAAAAUGACGGUACCUGACUAAGAAGCCCCGGCUAACUACGUGCCAGCAGCCGCGGUAAUACGUAGGUGGCAAGCGUUGUCCGGAAUUACUGGGUGUAAAGGGAGCGCAGGCGGGAAGCCAAGUCAGCUGUGAAAACUACGGGCUUAACUUG